UAGGGAAUCUUCGGCAAUGGACGAAAGUCUGACCGAGCAACGCCGCGUGAGUGAAGAAGGUUUUCGGAUCGUAAAACUCUGUUGUUAGAGAAGAACAAGGACGUUAGUAACUGAACGUCCCCUGACGGUAUCUAACCAGAAAGCCACGGCUAACUACGUGCCAGCAGCCGCGGUAAUACGUAGGUGGCAAGCGUUGUCCGGAUUUAUUGGGCGUAAAGCGAGCGCAGGCGGUUUCUUAAGUCUGAUGUGAAAGCCCCCGGCUCAACCGGGGAGGGUCAUUGGAAACUGGGAGACUUGAGUGCAGAAGAGGAGAGUGGAAUUCCAUGUGUAGCGGUGAAAUGCGUAGAUAUAUGGAGGAACACCAGGGGCGAAGGCGGCUCUCUGGUCUGUAACGGACGCUGAGGCUCGAAAGCGUGGGGAGCAAACAGG
rnacentral:rRNA from 1 species